rnacentral:rRNA from 1 species
UACGUAGGGUGCAAGCGUUGUCCGGAAUUAUUGGGCGUAAAGAGCUCGUAGGCGGCUCGUUGCGUCAAUCGUGAAAACCUACUGCUUAACGGUGGGCUUGCGGUUGAUACGGGCGGGCUGGAGUUCGGUAGGGGAGACUGGAAUUCCUGGUGUAGCGGUGAAAUGCGCAGAUAUCAGGAGGAACACCGGUGGCGAAGGCGGGUCUCUGGGCCGAUAUUGACGCUGAGGAGCGAAAGCGUGGGGAGCGAACAGG